rnacentral:rRNA from 1 species
GACGAACGCUGGCGGCGUGCUUAACACAUGCAAGUCGAACGGAAAGGCCCUGCUUUUGUGGGGUGCUCGAGUGGCGAACGGGUGAGUAACACGUGAGUAACCUGCCCUUGACUUUGGGAUAACUUCAGGAAACUGGGGCUAAUACCGGAUAGGAGCUCCUGCUGCAUGGUGGGGGUUGGAAAGUUUCGGCGGUUGGGGAUGGACUCGCGGCUUAUCAGCUUGUUGGUGGGGUAGUGGCUUACCAAGGCUUUGACGGGUAGCCGGCCUGAGAGGGUGACCGGCAACAUUGGGACUGAGAUACGGCCCAGACUCCUACGGGAGGCAGCAGUGGGGAAUAUUGCACAAUGGGCGGAAGCCUGAUGCAGCAACGCCGCGUGCGGGAUGACGGCCUUCGGGUGGUAAACCGCUUUCGCCUGUGACGAAGCGUGAGUGACGGUAUGGGUAAAGAAGCACCGGCUAACUACGUG